AGUGGCAUCGCUUUAAUAUCAAAUAUUUAUAGGAUCAAGAUGGGCAUGCGGAACAUUAGCUAGUUGGUAAGGUAACGGCUUACCAAGGCUACGAUGUUUAGGGGAUCUGAGAGGAUGACCCCCCACACUGGUACUGAGACACGGACCAGACUCCUACGGGAGGCAGCAGUAAGGAAUAUUGGUCAAUGGACGGAAGUCUGAACCAGCCAUGCCGCGUGCAGGAAGACGGCCCUACGGGUUGUAAACUGCUUUUGUACCGGAAUAAACCCCCGAUCGUGAUCGGGGCUGAAUGUACGGUAAGAAUAAGGAUCGGCUAACUCCGUGCCAGCAGCCGCGGUAAUACGGAGGAUCCAAGCGUUAUCCGGAUUUAUUGGGUUUAAAGGGUGCGUAGGCGGCCUGUUAAGUCAGGGGUGAAAGACGGUAGCUCAACUAUCGCAGUGCCCUUGAUACUGAUGGGCUUGAAUGUACUUGAGGUAGGCGGAAUGUGACAAGUAGCGGUGAAAUGCAUAGAUAUGUCACAGAACACCAAUUGCGAAGGCAGCUUACUAAAGUAUGAUUGACGCUGAGGCACGAAAGCGUGGGGAUCAAACAGGAUUAGAUACCCUGGUAGUCCACGCCCUAAACGAUGAACACUCGAUGUUGGCGAUAUACGGUCAGCGUCUAAGCGAAAGCGUUAAGUGUUCCACCUGGGGAGUACGCCCGCAAGGGUGAAACUCAAAGGAAUUGACGGGGGCCCGCACAAGCGGAGGAGCAUGUGGUUUAAUUCGAUGA
rnacentral:rRNA from 1 species